CUUUUCCCUACCACUAAUCUUUUUCCCUACCACUACUCCUACCUCUCCACCACACUACUCCUUUUCCCCACCACUACAUUCUUUCUCCCACUCUCACAACUUUUCUCCCACCAUUAUCACACUCCAUAGAAGCCUUUGAAGCCCCAAGAGAAGUAGCAAAGCAAGGGAGAGUGUGGGAAAACUAUAGAGUGAAGGUUGUGCUUCGAGGGUCCGGGCGACAGAAAGUGAAGCCGAAGAAGAAACGACUCCACGCCAGCUUUAAGAACAAUUGAGGUUGAGCAGGCGAUGGAAUGGAUCGGUGUUGAGCGGAUUUCCCUUUUGAUGUUUAUGUAAUGAAACCUUGAGUAUGCAUCUCCAUAUGCAUAACUCACACGUUUUUUUCGCUGCAAACACUCUGACUUAUUUAUCAUUUCUACUUGAACUUAUUACUACUUCAUUUUAAUUAACUUUCAGUUGGGGUCUAGUCGUUAUGGCAGACUCAUUUGUGAAUUACCCAAGUGGUUAUAUAUAUAUACCACUAGUUUGUUAUUAA